rnacentral:rRNA from 1 species
UACGAAGGGGGCUAGCGUUGCUCGGAAUUACUGGGCGUAAAGCGCGCGUAGGCGGCUCUUUAAGUCGGGGGUGAAAUCCUGGAGCUCAACUCCAGAACUGCCUUCGAUACUGAAGAGCUCGAGUCCGGGAGAGGUGAGUGGAACUGCGAGUGUAGAGGUGAAAUUCGUAGAUAUUCGCAAGAACACCAGUGGCGAAGGCGGCUCACUGGCCCGGUACUGACGCUGAGGUGCGAAAGCGUGGGGAGCAAACAGG